CAGGACUGCACUGAUGCUGUUGGUGUUGGCUAUAUCACCCAUCUUCAUAGCUGACAGUGCAUCACAUGUGAACUGGUAUGAACCUGCUAAACUGGUUUCAUUAAAACCGGGCGAAUCUCUCAGGCUGGAGUUAAGCACAUCAGCAGCAGUGUUGCUGUAUUUUAAAGGGAGUGAUUCAAAG